rnacentral:rRNA from 1 species
UACGUAGGGGGCAAGCGUUGUCCGGAUUUAUUGGGCGUAAAGAGCGUGUAGGCGGCCAGGUAGGUCAGCUGUGAAAACUCGAGGCUCAACCUCGAGACGCCGGUUGAAACCAUCUGGCUAGAGUCCGGAAGAGGAGAGUGGAAUUCCUGGUGUAGCGGUGAAAUGCGCAGAUAUUAGGAAGAACACCAGUGGCGAAGGCGGCUCACUGGCCCGGUACUGACGCUCAUGUGCGAAAGCGUGGGGAGCAAACAGG